rnacentral:rRNA from 1 species
UACGUAGGGGGCUAGCGUUGUUCGGAAUUACUGGGCGUAAAGCGCGCGUAGGCGGCUUUGUAAGUUAGAUGUGAAAGCCUGGGGCUCAACCCCAGAAUUGCCUUUAAGACUGCAUCGCUUGAAUCCAGGAGAGGUGAGUGGAAUUCCGAGUGUAGAGGUGAAAUUCGUAGAUAUUCGGAAGAACACCAGUGGCGAAGGCGGCUCACUGGACUGGUAUUGACGCUGAGGUGCGAAAGCGUGGGGAGCAAACAGG